rnacentral:rRNA from 1 species
UACGUAGGGUGCAAGCGUUAAUCGGAAUUACUGGGCGUAAAGCGUGCGCAGGCGGUUUUUGUAAGUCUGUCGUGAAAGUCCCCGGGCUCAACCUGGGGAAUUGCGAUGGAGACUGCAAGGCUUGAAUCUGGCAGAGGGGGGGGUAGAAAUUCCCACGUGUAGCAGUGAAAAUGCGUAGAUAUCUGGAGGAAUACCGGUGGCGAAGGCGGCAUCCUGGACCGGCAUUGACGCUGAGGAGCGAAAGCUAGGGGGAGCAAACGGG